GAUUGCCUCAGUAACGGCGAGUGAAGCGGCAAGAGCUCAAAUUUGAAAGCUGGCCCCCUGCGGGGUCCGCAUUGUAAUUUGCAGAGGAUGCUUCGGAUCCGGCCCCUGUCUAAGUGCUCUGGAACGGGCCGUCGGAGAGGGUGAGAAUCCCGUCUGGGACGGGGAGUCCGGGUCCAUGUGAAGCUCCUUCAACGAGUCGAGUUGUUUGGGAAUGCAGCUCUAAAUGGGUGGUAAAUUUCAUCUAAAGCUAAAUACUGGCCGGAGACCGAUAGCGCACAAGUAGAGUGAUCGAAAGAUGAAAAGCACUUUGAAAAGAGAGUUAAAAAGCACGUGAAAUUGUUGAAAGGGAAGCGCUUGCGAUCAGACUCGCCCGCGGGGUUCAGCCGGCAUUCGUGCCGGUGUACUUCCCCGUGGGCGGGCCAGCGUCGGUUCGGGCGGCCGGUCAAAGGCCCUGGGAAUGUAGCGCCCUCCGGGGCGUCUUAUAGCCCAGGGUGCCAUGCGGCCUGCCCGGACCGAGGAACGCGCUUCGGCUCGGACGCUGGCGUAAUGGUCGUAAGCGACCCGUCUUGAAACACGGACCAAGGAGUCUAACAUCUACGCGAGUGUUUGGGUGGCAAACCCAUACGCGCAGUGAAAGCGAACGGAGGUGGGAGCCUUUCGGGGCGCACCAUCGACCGAUCCUGAUGUCUUCGGAUGGAUUUGAGUAAGAGCGUAGCUGUGGGGACCCGAAAGAUGGUGAACUAUGCCUGAAUAGGGCGAAGCCAGAGGAAACUCUGGUGGAGGCUCGCAGCGGUUCUGACGUGCAAAUCGAUCGUCAAAUUUGGGUAUAGGGGCGAAAGACUAA
rnacentral:rRNA from 2 species